AUUGAACGCUGGCGGCAUGCUUUACACAUGCAAGUCGAACGGUAACAGGCCGCAAGGUGCUGACGAGUGGCGAACGGGUGAGUAAUGCAUCGGAACGUGCCCAGUCGUGGGGGAUAACGCAGCGAAAGCUGCGCUAAUACCGCAUACGAUCUAUGGAUGAAAGCGGGGGACCGUAAGGCCUCGCGCGAUUGGAGCGGCCGAUGUCAGAUUAGGUAGUUGGUGGGGUAAAGGCUCACCAAGCCAACGAUCUGUAGCUGGUCUGAGAGGACGACCAGCCACACUGGGACUGAGCCACGGGCCAGACUCCUACGGGAGGCAGCAGUGGGGAAUUUUGGACAAUGGGCGCAAGCCUGAUCCAGCAAUGCCGCGUGCAGGAAGAAGGCCUUCGGGUUGUAAACUGCUUUUGUACGGAACGAAACGGUCCUGGUUAAUACCUGGGGCUAAUGACGGUACCGUAAGAAUAAGCACCGGCUAACUACGUGCCAGCAGCCGCGGUAA
rnacentral:rRNA from 1 species